GAGCGAAGACGGAAUUUCACCAUAUUGGCCGGGCUGGUCUCGGACUCCUGACCUAGCGAUUCCCCCCACCCCUCCCCCUCCCCCGCCUCGGCCUCCCAAAACGUGCCGGGAGUACGGGUGUCGGCCACCGCGCCCGGCCGAUUCCUUCUUGUUUUCAAUCUUCUUUUCUGCACGCUGCUGUGUGUGAGCAUACGUAUAUCUAUCUAGAUAGAUAGAUACGUAGAUAUGGACACACGGACACGUACCUACACCGACGAAAAUAUCUAGUGAUAAAACUAGACAUUUCCAUCAUUCAUACAUGUGUAUAGGAUAGAUGUUAAUUUUAAUGGAUGAACGUGUAUGACGUAAAAACCCAUGUCAUUUACAUAGACCUGUAUAUGUAUAUCCUUCGUUUAUUAUGGAUUAACAAUGUUCGUGUAUUUAUUUUCUUUUCUUUUGGGGCCUGCCUGAUCUUCUCACUCUGGGCUCUGGUGACCUCAGGCUCCCAAGUAGCUGGGAUGGGACUACAGGGAUCUCUUAAGCCCGGGAGGCAGAGGCGAACGUGGGCUGUGAUCGCGCGCCUCCACUCCACCUGGGCUGGGCUGGGCUGGAGAGAAAACGGUGGAUUGUCAUCUUCAUUACCUUACCUUUUAGCUUUAUUCGUACCCUCUUAUUUGCUUCUUUAUUCUCAUGGGUUAUUCUAGGUCGUUGUCAUGUUCAUCGUUUGCUUGCUUGUUUCAUUGGUUUCCUGCCUUCCCUGCCUUCCCGGCGGGGUCUUCCUCUGCCUCUGUCGCCCGGGAUCACCCCAGCCUCGACGAUUUCGACCGAGCGGCCGUCCCGCGUCUCAUCCCUCCCGUCCCCGUUCCCUGGGACUACGGGUGUGCACCACCACACCGGGUGUCGUCUCACACGUCGAGGUGAUCUCAAACGUCUACGCUCCGGCCAUCCUUCCACGUCGGCCUCCCGGAGUGCUGGGAUGACACGCGUGGGCACGACGGAGUUUCACUCUUGUCGCCCAGGGUGGACUACGAUGGCGUGAUCUCGGCUCGCUGCGACCUCCGCCCCCUCCCCCUCCCCCUCCCCCUCCCCCUCCCCCUCCCCCUCCCCCUCCCCCUCCAGACGGAGUUUCACUCUUGUCGCCCAGGGUGGACUACGAUGGCGUGAUCUCGGCUCGCUGCGACCUCCGCCUCCCGGGUUCGAGUGAUCCUCCUGCCUUGGCCUUCCCGAGGAGCUGGAAUGACGGGGAAGCGCCAUCGUGCCCGGCUGACUUUUAUAUUUUUAGUACAGAUGGGGUUUCUCCGUCUUGGUCAGCCUGGUCUUGAGCUUCCGACCGUUGGACGAUUUUAACUUUCUUGGUGGUUGCUUUUCUUUUUCUUUUUUUCUUUUCUUUUCUUUCCUUCUCCUCCCCCCACCCACUCCCCCUGUCCUCCUCGUCCUCCUCGUCCUCGUCCUCCUCCUCCUCCUCCUUUUUCAUCUCUUUCAGCUGGGCUCUCCUACUUGUGUUGCUCAGUUGCUCACGCUGGUCUCCAACUCCUGCCCUUGACGCUUCUCCCCUCACACCCACCGUCUGGUUGUUGAGAUGCGCACCUCUUGUAAAAUGGAAAAGAUGAAAAAAAUAAAAGACGGAGGUGAAAA